rnacentral:rRNA from 1 species
GACGAACCGUGCGAACGUUGUUCGGAUUCACUGGGCUUAAAGGGCGCGUAGGCGGCUUGCCAAGUCAGGGGUGAAAUCUUUCGGCUCAACCGGAAAAGUGCUUCUGAUACUGGCGGGCUGGAGGGAGGUAGGGGCAGAUGGAACUUCCGGUGGAGCGGUGAAAUGCGUAGAUAUCGGAAGGAAGACCAGUGGCGAAGGCGGGUCUCUGGACAGUUCCUGACGCUGAGGCACGAAGGUCAGGGGAGCAAACGGG